rnacentral:misc_RNA from 1 species
GUAGUUAAGUAGAUAAAUCAUACACUUAUUUCAUGUUAAUUUUUUUUAUUAUAAAUUUUCGAAAUUUUAAUUAGCAGAACUGAAUAUUAUCGUUCAAUGAUAGCAAUAAAAAAUUUUCUGCAAAAAUAACAAUUUAAAAUCUCUAAAAGUCUUAACUAGAUAAAACAAUAAUAGUUUGUACUAAAUUUUGAUUUAAAAAAAAAAAAAAGAAACAGCAAGCAUGCAAAUGGAUUAACACAAAAGUACCAUUGUUGGCAACAAAACAAAAGGGGCAGCGUAUUGGAAACAAAGAAAAAAGUCAGCAUGACGGCAUGAAUUCAGGUAAAGAAAGUAUGAAAAAGAAAAGAAACCCAAUUGGGUUGGGAAAGGGAAGAUAUGAAGAAGGAAGAAGAAGAAAAAUAAAAAAAUAAAAAAUAAAUAAAAAAGAUCCCACUCAAUCAUUAGGGAAAAAUGCACUACCUCUCUCUCAAGCACUAUUCAGAUGCUUGAGCUAAUUAAAUCCAAAAAUGUAUGGCGUUGCCCUUGCUAGAUGUUAAAUAGUCAAUUUCUCAGCUGCUUAAUCUUUAGAUUCAUGUCUUUAAGAGAUGUCAAAGUCAUUGGUGUCUUAUGUAAUUGGAAAUUCUUUAGCAGUAUGUUUUGCUUCUAAUAUUCUGCAAAAGUUUGUAUGGUUUGGCGUCCCAAUCAUUUCUUCUGGUAGGUCAAUAUCCAGGAAUGUAAAUGUACUCAUCCAUGCCUUAAACAAGAUUCAUGACAUUUGUGCACCAUAGUUGAUGCACUCAGAUAUGAACUCAGCUACCUUAAUACUUCAUCCUACACCACUAGAGUAGCCUUCCAUUUACACGUGCAUUUGGAACAGGGGACUAACUGGUGAGCGUACAG